GAGAUGGGAGGAUUGUUUGAGUCCAGGUGGAUCAAGGCUGCAGUGAGCUGUGAUCAUAUCACUGGACUCCAGCCUGAGUGACAGAGCAAGACCCCGUCUC
ensembl:miRNA